AGUCGAGCGGCAGCGGGAAGUAGCUUGCUACUUUGCCGGCGAGCGGCGGACGGGUGAGUAAUGUCUGGGAAACUGCCUGAUGGAGGGGGAUAACUACUGGAAACGGUAGCUAAUACCGCAUGACCUCGAAAGAGCAAAGUAGGGGAUCUUCGGACCUCACGCCAUCGGAUGUGCCCAGAUGGGAUUAGCUAGUAGGUGAGGUAAUGGCUCACCUAGGCGACGAUCCCUAGCUGGUCUGAGAGGAUGACCAGCCACACUGGAACUGAGACACGGUCCAGACUCCUACGGGAGGCAGCAGUGGGGAAUAUUGCACAAUGGGCGCAAGCCUGAUGCAGCCAUGCCGCGUGUGUGAAGAAGGCCUUAGGGUUGUAAAGCACUUUCAGCGAGGAGGAAGGCAUCAUACUUAAUACGUGUGGUGAUUGACGUUACUCGCAGAAGAAGCACCGGCUAACUCCGUGCCAGCAGCCGCGGUAAUACGGAGGGUGCAAGCGUUAAUCGGAAUUACUGGGCGUAAAGCGCACGCAGGCGGUUUGUUAAGUCAGAUGUGAAAUCCCCGCGCUUAACGUGGGAACUGCAUUUGAAACUGGCAAGCUAGAGUCUUGUAGAGGGGGGUAGAAUUCCAGGUGUAGCGGUGAAAUGCGUAGAGAUCUGGAGGAAUACCGGUGGCGAAGGCGGCCCCCUGGACAAAGACUGACGCUCAGGUGCGAAAGCGUGGGGAGCAAACAG
rnacentral:rRNA from 1 species